CACCCGCGCGCCGCGGCAGCCCGGGCCGGCCCGGGACCGAGGACGCAGGGAGGGAGGCGCUGGCGGCGCGUCCUCCGCGUCCCGCCCGCUCGCCCGCCGCCGCCCACCGUCCGGCUCCCGGCCCGGGGAGGGGGGCUGGCAGGGGCGGCGCUGAGAGGCUCCUCGGGAGGGAGGGAGGCAGGGCGGGCCGCGCGGCCGCGACGAAUCCCGACUCGGGCGCGCCCCCUCUCGCGCGUCCUCAGCCACUCGGGGAGGAAGGGGUGGGAAACAUGAUAAUGACAGCCCGGGCUCUCGCCGGCCGGGCUCCUUCUCUCGCUGGCUCCGCGGAUAUUUUGGGAGGCCCGUCGGUGCCAGGCGCAGUCAGCAGCGAUGUUGAAACGGAGGUUCAGAGAAGUGAGGAGCUUUGGCCAAAUUCUCAGAACUAGAAAUGGAUUUCCAGGCCAACUGACCCCGGAGGCUGAACUCCCAGACACAGAUGAGGAAAUUCAAGAUGGGAGAGCCAAAUGCUGCUGCAGAAGUCUUUAGCAGGUCACCCGACUCUCCUGGCCACCCCAUGAGAAAACAUCCUAGGGAGGCAGGGGUUCCAGGCACUCAGGUGUCCGUGUUGGCAUAGCUCACUGCCCUGCACCACUGUGCUGAGGCCAUUAGGGUUUGAGGGCCCACAGCCAAGAGUCACUGUAUUUGUGCAAAGUCAUAGAUGCAAACAAGACACCUCGGGACAUCCAGCUCCUACUGCUUGGGUCAUGGCCUGGGAGGCAAGGAUUGGGUUUCUCUCCCUGCAUCUGCCCCAGAGGUGCUUUGUGACCAUGACCACCAAGCCACUUCCCUGGACUAGACUUCAGUGUCCUCAUCAAUAAAAACCAAGAAUUUUAAA